rnacentral:rRNA from 1 species
UGGUGGAGUGAUUUGUCUGGUUAAUUCCGUUAACGAACGAGACCUCAGCCUGCUAAAUAGUUUGACAAACAUUUUGUGUUUGCAAUCAAAGCUUCUUAGAGGGACUUUUUGUAUCUAGCAAAAGGAAGUUUGAGGCAAUAACA